ACGACGCUGGCGGCGUGGAUUAGGCAUGCAAGUCGAACGGUAUCAUCCUUUCGGGGAUGAGAGAGUGGCGAACGGGUGAGUAACACGUAGGUGAUCUACCCUCAAGACGGGGACAACCCAGGGAAACUUGGGCUAAUACCGGAUGUGAGCUAUCGCGAGAUAGUUUGAAAGGUGGCUUCGGCUGCCGCUUGAGGAUGAGCCUGCGUCCUAUUAGCUAGUUGGUGAGGUAACGGCUCACCGAGGCGAUGAUAGGUAGGCGGCCUUAACGGGUGGUCGCCCACACUGGGAUUGAGAUACGGCCCAGACUCCUACGGGAGGCAGCAGUCGAGAAUAGUCUACAAUGGCCGAAAGGCUGAUAGUGCGACGCCGCGUGAACGAAGAAGCCCUUCGGGGUGUAAAGUUCUUUUAUAUGUGAGCAGUGCUUUCUAUGUGAACAGCAUGGGGAGAGAGAUAUUAGCAUAUGAAUAAGCAACGGCUAACUCCGUG
rnacentral:rRNA from 1 species